CAGCCUCGCGGAAUCACGGUGGCUGAACUAAAUCACACCCUACCCAUAACGCACAGGGCUCCCUUUUCUCCACAGCCUCACCAGGGUUUGUGAUCUUCUGUCUUCUCAGGAGAUUCCUUGGACUGAAACCAAUGGGAGUCCAGGCUUCGCGAGAGUCUCAUCAGAGCAGAUGGGCCAGCAGCAGCCAGAAAGCUUGUUGCCUUUGGCUGCGAGCACCAUCCUGGAAGUGGACAUUCUUGGGAGUAAACCCCAGCAGGCGCGGCCUCGGCCUCAGUGAAGUGCCCUGCUCCUCCUUGAAGAGGACUUCGUGUCCCCCCGCGUCUUCCCUCCCUCUUGCACAUGUUAAAAAUCACAUUCCCAGAGUACUCUGCAGCUCAGAAUCACGUUGCCUCUGAGCGUCCCCAGGAGGACAGCUUUUUCGUGCUUUUGGUUCCUUGAUCCCUGGGAAGCGCAUGGCAUGGAGGGUCAGGAGACUUGGAUUCUGGUUACUGUGCAGUUGCUAAAUUUUCCCGGGACCAGUUUCCGUGGGACUGAGUUGUUCCUCCCUGUGCUACGGUUUCCUCAGCUGUGAGGUUGUUUAUCAGAAUAGCUGCCACUUAUGAAAUGGGCACUGUGUACCAGACAUUAUCUCACUCACAUGACAUAUGUAUUAUUAUUGCCCUACUUUACGGAUAAUGAAACUGAGGCUUAUAAAUCUCGUUAACUAGCCUAUUUAAACUGUCAAUCCUGUUCAAGCACGGUAACAUGCUCAUAAUCCCUGCUACUUGGGAGGCUAAGUUAGGAGGAUCAUUUGCAUCCAGGAACUUAAGAGCAGUCUGAGAAAUACAAUACUAUGCUUUUUUUUAAAAACUUGCCCACAUGCCUGUGAUGCUAGAACUCAGGAGGCUGAGGCAGGAGGAUUGGCAUAUAGCCAUCCUGGGCAACAUAGUGAGUUCACAGCCAAUCUGAACUACAUAGCAAGACCCCGUCUCACCUCAUCCCCUCCAAAAAAGUUGCCAGUCCCUACCCCUGGCAGAUACUCCUUUUUCUACUUUAUUUUAACUUUGACAUUUAGUACCACAUGAAAUGUGACAUAUUUUACUUUUUUUGUUUGCCUUCACCCUUAAAAGAUAGUAAGCUUUAUUAAAGAAAUGGAUUUUGA